rnacentral:rRNA from 1 species
AGAGUUUGAUCCUGGCUCAGGAUGAACGCUAGCGGCAGGCUUAAUACAUGCAAGUCGAGGGGCAGCAGGGGUAGCAAUACUCGCUGGCGACCGGCGCACGGGUGCGUAACACGUAUACAAUCUGCCUUUAACAGGGGGAUAGCCCGGAGAAAUCCGGAUUAAUACCCCAUAAUAAAUUGAAUGGCAUCAUUUGAUUUUGAAAGCUCCGGCGGUUAAAGAUGAGUAUGCGUCUGAUUAGCUAGUUGGUGAGGUAACGGCUCACCAAGGCAACGAUCAGUAGGGGAUCUGAGAGGAUUAACCCCCACACGGAUACUGAGACACGGAUCCGACUCCUACGGGAGGCAGCAGUAAGGAAUAUUGGACAAUGCCCGCAAGGGUGAUCCAGCCAUGCCGCGUGCAGGAAGACGGCCCUAUGGGUUGUAAACUGCUUUUGUACCGGAGAAAACCUUCCCUUGCGAGGGGAAGG